rnacentral:tRNA from 1 species
GGUUGUGGCUCAGUGGUAGGGCGCUCGCCUAGCAUGUCCGAGGCCCUGGGUUCGAUCCUCAGCACCA